AGGAGUCUAGUGAAGCGAUUCCAGAAUGUUCCACAAGUUGAAUACAACUCCAUCAGAAGUUUCAUUAGCAGCCAAAAUUCAGGUGAAAUCAAGCUGCCUGCAGACUACUGCAGUGUGGACCUGGACCUGGACGCCGAGUUCGAGGUCAUCCUGCCGCGUCGACGCGGCCUCGGCCUCUGUUCGACCGCCUUGGUUAGCUACUUGAUUAACCUACACAAUCAAAUCGUCUACACGGUGGAAAAGUUCUCCAACGAAAGCAACAGGUAUGUGCACGAACCACAAGAAGCGGUGCCCGCUCGACCCGGGUUCCUGAGCCCACGGGGCAGAUGCGGGCCAAGCUUAGCUCUGUCCCCAGCAGACGCUUCCUCAGCCGCGCCCACCGGUGUCCCACACUCGCGUGUGCUUGGUGCGCUCAGAGUGUGAGGACACGAAACAGGAACUGCUCCCCGCACGCUGGAGAGUCCGCCCGCACGCUCGACCUGCACACUGAGCGCUGCCUCUGUGUCCCUCAGCUAUUCUGUGGACGCCUCUGAGGUCACCGACCUGCACGUCAUCAAUUACGAGGCGGAGCGGGACCUGACCCCGCUGAUUCUGUCCAACUGCCAGUAUCAGGUGGAGCAGGGCGGCGAGACCUCGCAGGAGUUCCACCUGGAGAAGAUCCAGCGCCAGGUCACCAGCCGCUGCCUCCAGGGCAAGCCCAGGCUGACCCUGAAGGGAAUACCCACUCUGGUAUACAGACAUGACUGGAACUACGAACAUCUCUUUGAGGACAUCAAGAACAGAAUGGCACAGAACUCCCUCCCCAAGUCGGCCAUCAGAGCCAUCAGUGGACAACUGCAGUCCUACAGCGAUACCUGUGAAGCUCUGUCCAUCAUAGAAGUCACCUUGGGGUUUCUGAGCACGGCAGGCGGGGAUCCAAACAUGCGCUUGAAUACGUAUGUCCAAGACGUCUUGCGAAUGGGUGACCAGACGGCUCUCGUGCUAAAGGCCUUGGAGAGGUGUCAGUUAAAACACAGCAUUGCCCUCUGGCAGCUCCUCUCUGCUUACAAGUCCGAACAGCUGCUGCGACUGAACAAAGAGCCUUUUAGGGAAAUCAGCUCAAGGUACAAAGAGGACCUCAGCCCAGAAAAUGCUAAGCUGCUCGGCACUUUCCUGAAUCAGAUUAGCCUGGAUACCUUCCUGCUGGAACUCCACGAAAUGAUGGUCUUGAAACUGAAGAACCGCCAAGACCAGGACAGUUUCAAUCCUGAGUGGAGCCUGAGAGACACUCUGGUAGUGUGCAUGGAAACUAAAGAGAGUGAAAUUCUUCCUGAAGUGGAGUACCAGUUCCCGGGAGAGAUCCUGCUCUCGAAUUGUGUCUGCGUGUGGAAAAUGGCGGCCGCGCUGAAACGGGAUCGACAGAUGCGAUAGCAUCGCCUCCUCAGCGCUGUGUUUGGGGAGACUUGGGGGGAAGGCUCUGGCCCCGUACCCACGGCCCGGAUCCCACCACGGGCCGCUGCCUUUGUGAGUGCUCAGGAGGAAGCUGUUGGCGCAGCACUCAACGCAAGACCAGGGUGUGCUGUGUGAGCUGCUUCUGAAACAAGGAUGUAUCCAAACUUCCUCAUCCUGUGAAAUCUGUUCGUUCGAGGAGUUGACGAAGACUACAUGGAAUUGGAAAUAACCUGCCAUCGUUUACAUUGCAGGAGGGACAAAGAAGCUUCUCAGCCUCACAGGCAGUGAUGGCUGGUGUCUGGAACCUCUGGCACUUCCUCAGACACAGGUCCCUCCUCAGACUACUGCAUAAUUAGAGGGAGGGGACAAAACAGAUCACUAGUUUUGCUUUUAUCCUUUUUCUAAGUUAUUCUAUACUCAGGAAAGAAUCUGGUUUUCUUCUUUCUUCUAUGACCUUAAAUUCUGAGUACUAUACAGAUAUUUCUGGGUUUCCAAGAAGAUGUGAAAAAGUACUAGACUCUUCUGUCUUCUCACAAAUACAAGAAAAAUCAGGACAUUUUGUAAGUGCCUUAAGACCAAACUAACAAGAUCCCAGCAGACCCGCAUGAGUCACUGCCACGUCUCAGAGGGCGAGAGCCAGAAAGCCUGCGUUGUGAAGAGCUCUGGGCCGGGCGUCAGGGACACUUCUGGGUCUUAGUUUCCUCACGUACAAAGAGAAGGGAGUGGGUUGGUGGCCAAAGGUCCUUACAAUUCUAAAACUUUUAAAUUCUAAAUGAACGUUGAUUAAUGUCAAC
rnacentral:lncRNA from 1 species